rnacentral:rRNA from 2 species
GGGUGAGUAAUGCCUAGGAAUCUGCCUGGUAGUGGGGGACAACGUUUCGAAAGGAACGCUAAUACCGCAUACGUCCUACGGGAGAAAGCAGGGGACCUUCGGGCCUUGCGCUAUCAGAUGAGCCUAGGUCGGAUUAGCUAGUUGGUGAGGUAAUGGCUCACCAAGGCGACGAUCCGUAACUGGUCUGAGAGGAUGAUCAGUCACACUGGAACUGAGACACGGUCCAGACUCCUACGGGAGGCAGCAGUGGGGAAUAUUGGACAAUGGGCGAAAGCCUGAUCCAGCCAUGCCGCGUGUGUGAAGAAGGUCUUCGGAUUGUAAAGCACUUUAAGUUGGGAGGAAGGGUUGUAGAUUAAUACUCUGCAAUUUUGACGUUACCGACAGAAUAAGCACCGGCUAACUCUGUGCCAGCAGCCGCGGUAAUACAGAGGGUGCAAGCGUUAAUCGGAAUUACUGGGCGUAAAGCGCGCGUAGGUGGUUCGUUAAGUUGGAUGUGAAAUCCCCGGGCUCAACCUGGGAACUGCAUCCAAAACUGGCGAGCUAGAGUAUGGUAGAGGGUGGUGGAAUUUCCUGUGUAGCGGUGAAAUGCGUAGAUAUAGGAAGGAACACCAGUGGCGAA